GGGAUGAGCCAAUAGACAAGCAGCUUGGUGAGAAGAGAUUUGCUUUUGGAGCAAUUAUUAGUAAAUGGUAUAAAUACAAGAUUACUGACAAUCUCCCUCGACUUGGGGCUCUGGGCAAGAUCUCACCUUAUGGGGUACAAAUGAUCUUGAGAACGUUGUGGACACUUAUGUUGUGUGAUGUCUGAGGUGUUUUUUGCAUAGCAAAGCUGCCCUCCCUGUGGAGGGUAACUCUGAAGUGCCUUUUUUUUUCUCCACCUGACUCAAUCCUCACAUAAACCCUCUGAUCUCUAUUAAGGUAGCGCAACUCGAGUUGCGAAUGACCACAGUCACCAAUUCUUGUCAUGUGUCUACUAUAUGUAUGUCUGAUUUCAGAAUUGUGUGUACUGAAACUCUCAUUUCCCUCUGGGACUAAUAAACUAUCUUUGAACUGAAUUGAAUUGAAUUAUGGGGUACAAGUGAUCUUCAGAAUUUUGGGGAUACAGCCCAGAACUACACAGGGGGACUGGUCAAUGACAUGAAGAUGUCAUGGUCUGUGCUGAGCUAACACCUGUUUUGUGUUGAGUUUCUCUGUGUGCAGGUGGGUGUGUCCGGAGAGCAGCUGCUGUUGAUCUUCUCAUCAGCGGUCAGGGGAUUUAAGGAGUGUCGGGACAACACAUCAGCGCCGGAUGAUUACUCAGUAUUGGGUAGUAUUGUCGCCAGAACCUUGCCUGUCUUGUGUUAUCUCCUGUUUACCUUGCUUCAAUCGUGUUAAUCUGCCCUGUUACCUCUGACCUCCUCAGGUACCUUCCAUUCAUCUGCCAACUUCCUCCAUCAAGCAAAAGACUCACCGGAUCAAUCCUGCUCACCGGCCCGUUGCUCGCCCCUGACCGCCUGCUCUCCAACCCCCACCUGCCAUCAGGACACCCUGGACUCCGGUGCUCAGCCAUUUCCUCUGCCUCUCGCCCGACCAACUCAGCCAGCCUUGACGUGCCCUCCUCUCAAACUCUCCCUAACUACCAGGAAACCAACUUCAUCAGAACCUCCCGAAUCCCGAUCUACAUCUGCAUCACUCAUCAAUCUUAAAUCAGUAAUUUUUACUUACCUUCUGCCUGUUGUGUGAUUCUGCAUGUCGUGGGUCAAAAAACUUCAACCCAACAUGACAGAAGAGAGCUGGGACCACAGCAACAAAGUAAGGAGAAGGGAAGACCCAGAGAUCUCCUUUGAGCUGCUUUUGGCUACAGAAGGAAGGAAGAACCCUCAGGCAGAGCCAGACUCCGGGUGAGCGGCCAUCUGCCCCGUCCGGUUCAGGUGUCGCAGAGAAUGCAGGAGAACUGAUGAACAAGCGAUAAAAAUAUAAAAUACUGGAUGCUUUUUUGCCUCAGUAGCUAUAAAUUUGACCAAUGUAUCAUCAGAACCAAACCAACCAUCUCCGUGCUGAGCAGUCAAGUUUGCUUUCCAGAAUGUUUUAUAUUCAAGAAACUGAGUUUUGCUAAGAAAAUUCAAGGUGUUGUAGGAUGUCAUUAUUUGUUUCUGGUCAUUUCCUCUAAAACUACAAUU